CUACACGAAGCGCCGCUGGGUCUGGGUGCCCGGAGGCAGCAGCGUUCGCGGAGUUCGCCCGCUGGCCCCCGAUCGCCAUGUCGGCUUUCGACACCAACCCCUUCGCGGACCCAGUGGAUGUAAACCCCUUCCAGGAUCCCUCUGUGACCCAGCUGACCAACGUCCCGCAGGGCGGCCUGGCGGAAUUCAACCCCUUCUCAGAGACAAAUGCAGCGACAACAGUUCCUGUCACCCAACUCCCUGGGUCCUCACAGCCAGCGGUUCUCCAGCCAUCAGUGGAACCAACCCAGCCGACCCCCCAGGCCGUGGUGUCUGCAGCCCAGGCAGGCCUGCUCCGGCAGCAGGAAGAACUGGACAGGAAAGCUGCCGAGCUGGAACGCAAGGAGCGGGAGCUGCAGAACACUGUAGCCAACUUGCAUGGUAAGGGAGGCUGCUGGGGCCUGGGGCUGCCCUGCCUGGCAUAGAAGAGUGUCCUGAAACCUGUGCGGAGGGCCUCCCAGCAUUCACCCUGAGCUGCCUUAGAGUUUUGUGGGGCUCUUCUCAUCACAGGACGCUGGUCCUGGGAAGAGCAGUAAGUUGCAAGUC
rnacentral:sRNA from 1 species